rnacentral:rRNA from 1 species
AACGAACGCUGGCGGCAUGCCUAACACAUGCAAGUCGAACGAGAUCUUCGGAUCUAGUGGCGCACGGGUGCGUAACGCGUGGGAAUCUGCCCUUGGGUUCGGAAUAACAGUGAGAAAUUACUGCUAAUACCGGAUGAUGUCUUCGGACCAAAGAUUUAUCGCCCAGGGAUGAGCCCGCGUAGGAUUAGGUAGUUGGUGGGGUAAUGGCCUACCAAGCCGACGAUCCUUAGCUGGUCUGAGAGGAUGAUCAGCCACACUGGGACUGAGACACGGCCCAGACUCCUACGGGAGGCAGCAGUGGGGAAUAUUGGACAAUGGGCGAAAGCCUGAUCCAGCAAUGCCGCGUGAGUGAUGAAGGCCUUAGGGUUGUAAAGCUCUUUUACCAGGGAUGAUAAUGACAGUACCUGGAGAAUAAGCUCCGGCUAACUCCGUGCCAGCAGCCGCGGUAAUACGGAGGGAGCUAGCGUUGUUCGGAAUUACUGGGCGUAAAGCGCGCGUAGGCGGUUACUCAAGUCAGAGGUGAAAGCCCGGGGCUCAACCCCGGAACUGCCUUUGAAACUAGGUGACUAGAAUCUUGGAGAGGUCAGUGGAAUUCCGAGUGUAGAGGUGAAAUUCGUAGAUAUUCGGAAGAACACCAGUGGCGAAGGCGACUGACUGGACAAGUAUUGACGCUGAGGUGCG